AACGCACGAGACCUGCGGACCUGCGGAGGGAUCAUUACCGAGUUCAUGCCCUCACGGGUAGAUCUCCCACCCUUGUGUAUUCUAUGUUUGUGUUGCUUUGGCAGGCCGUGGGCCUCGCCCACCACCGGCUCUCGGGCUGGUGUGCGCCUGCCAGAGGACUCUUUAAACUCUGUUUGUUAGUGUCGUCUGAGUAUGAUAACAAUCGUUAAAACUUUCAACAACGGAUCUCUAGAUCGGAAG
rnacentral:misc_RNA from 1 species